rnacentral:rRNA from 1 species
UACGUAGGGUGCAAGCGUUAAUCGGAAUUACUGGGCGUAAAGCGUGCGCAGGCGGCUUUGCAAGACAGAUGUGAAAUCCCCGGGCUUAACCUGGGAACUGCAUUUGUGACUGCAAGGCUGGAGUGCGGCAGAGGGGGAUGGAAUUCCGCGUGUAGCAGUGAAAUGCGUAGAGAUGUGGAGGAACACCGAUGGCGAAGGCAGCCCCCUGGGCCGACACUGACGCUCAGGCACGAAAGCGUGGGGAGCAAACAGG